GGAGUUAGCCGGUGCUUCUUCUGUGAGUGAUGUCCUUCCUGCCGGUUAUUGACCCGCAGGCCUUCUUCCUCACUGAAAGUGCUUUACAACCCGAAGGCCUUCUUCACACACGCGGCAUGACUGGAUCAGGGUUGCCCCCAUUGUCCAAUAUUCCCCACUGCUGCCUCCCGUAGGAGUCUGGGCCGUGUCUCAGUCCCAGUGUGGCUGAUCAUCCUCUCAGACCAGCUACGGAUCGUCGCCUUGGUGAGCCGUUACCUCACCAACCAGCUAAUCCGACAUAGGCUCAUCCGAUAGCGCGAGGCCCGAAGGUCCCCCGCUUUCCCCCGUAGGGCGUAUGCGGUAUUAGCCUGGGUUUCCCCAGGUUAUCCCCCACUACCGGGCAGAUUCCUAUGCAUUACUCACCCGUCCGCCGCUCGCCACCAGGGAGCAAGCUCCCCGUGCUGCCGCUCGACUUGCAUGUGUUAGGCCUGCCGCCAGCGUUCAAUCUGAGCCAGGAUCAAACUCUGA
rnacentral:rRNA from 1 species